CAUACACUCAAAUCCCACCCUACAUCACUCCACUCAUUGAAGUACUUAAGUGGUAUCUAUGAAAAGGCUGAGUGCUCUGCUAAGUGAAGUAUUUCCCUCACUGAGUACUGUAGCCAUUCCUGGUGAGGACGUAUAUCCCAUCAAGGAUGGAUUCUGUCACUGUCCAAGAAGAGGUGGAAAAUAUCCCUCUCUAUGGAGUUGAUGAAAUGGAACCUGAUAAUAGGAUAGAAGUAAACCAUAAUGUGAAUUUACGCCGUACUCGCACUGAUGUCCACAUGUCACAGAGGAAUCAGCAAGGGCAUUCAAAAUGCCAUUCCUUUAGUGGUCAAGAUUACAGGCAACAGAAUACCUUGCCAGCACGAUAUGGA